UGGAGUGAUUUGCAACAGUUCAUAUCGGUGAAAUUCAUUACCACACUACAACAAAUGCGUGUCUCCGACGACCCAUACUUAGUGCAAGAGUCGUAGCGGAUAAUUCUCGCUCCAUACCAUCGACCCGUUUUUCUUUUAACUCACGAACCCGAUUUCUCAAAUUUACGCGCGAGCCCAUUUAUCCGUUCUCCUGUGGUGAAUUAGGGGAAGCUUCCUUAACGAAGUCUGCAGCGUUGUAGGCUCUGUCCGAUCGGAAGAUGCUGACAAAUGGAUUACUGAUCGAAGUGGAGAAUCGCCAAAUUGAAGCAUUUUUUGUGGUUGAUCAAAAAUAUGGCAAAGAUAUAGGACGUUCAUGCGUCAUGCGGAAAGAUUGAGCUCUUGCUUUUGGCGUUCCUUUGAGCUGUUCUCGCUGGUCAGAAACUGGAUCAGGUUUAGCUUUGAUUUUUGGAAGGUCGAUGAAUUGUGAGGGGAAUUAGGUCGUUAGUGCAGCUAUUCGGGUGAACGGAGAAGGAACUUACCUCACCUUCAACGAGAUCACUAGAGAGGGUUUCCAAUCAGUUAAACUGUAGCUCUUUUUCUUUCUGUAGUAGAAGCCAUUUGAGCAAUUUCUUUUAAUGAAUAGGAUUUUAAGUCACUUUCAGGUACCAUUUUCUGUUGCAAGGGUUUCUAUCUUGACUGCUCGUGAUAGCUUUGCUGCUUAUUGGUGCUGAUUUCUCUUGUGAGGUAUUCUUCAAAACCUCUUUCCUGGAAGCUAUUAGGGAAUGCACUAGUUUUUACAUAUCCAUUUAGCUUUUGUCUUCUCCCGUUCAAUUUUCUUUUCUAUGUUUUAUCAAUUAUUUUGUUGGUUGUUUGAUCGAGUGAAAAGUGCUAGUAAUUGGAUGUGUAUAGAAAAGACGCAUUGAUAGGUACCAAAAGGAAGGUGCCAAAUGUUGCAUAAUUUCCCCCCUAUUAAAUGUUGGGAUAUUAACAUCAUACCUGGUUGUCAAAAUGAUGAAAGGAAGUAUGGGUUUUUGAGGAAUUUGUUGUGCUGAAAUCACCAGAUGCAGUAUUCGAUCCAGCAACCGUAUUUGAACCACUAGAACUAGAAGCUGAGUUUGAUGCAGUUAUUGAACUGGCUCUGAUACCAUGUAAGGCCGAACACAUUGCAGUAGGAUUUCACCCACAGAAGCGCGGAGAGCUCAUUUAUACAGGGGAGAAACAGAGAGCAUGGAGAGCAAAAAACACUCAAUCAGUUUCAUUUCUCUGAGAAGGCUCAUUUAUACUCUUUACAGAAGACUCUGUUAAAAAGUGGUAACCAAUUCUGAUACGCAGCACCAUCUCUGAUCUCUUGAAUAUUCUGGAGUCGUCUAUGCACGUGCAGGAAAUAUCUUCAGCUUCAAGUUAACUUGAGGCAUAAGAGAUGUGUCCACCGUAGAGCAAGCACAAACUGAAGUUUAUCUGGGUGUAGAAACUCUGUGGCCAUUGUUACUGGAGCUUCCAGGGGAAUCAGUAAGGCAACGGCAUUGGCCCCAGAAAGAGUAGGCUGCAAGGUGUGUGGACUUUUUUAUGGUACACAGUCUUUCCCAAGAAGAGCUAUAGAAAUAAAUAUUACUAUAUUCUUUGUUAUAUGCAUUGUUUUGUUGUUCUAUGAUAUAUUGACAACAUUAGAACUUCAACUGGGGCAGUAGCGAUGCUCCUCCAUGAAAAGGAAGGUAAGCAUUAAGGUUGCAUACUAAAAAAUAUGUAUGCAAAUGUUGGGGAUGAAGUUUAAUCCCUUUCUCUCUAUAUUCCUCAGUUCUCCUGCAUCAUCGGAAAUGUGAAGGUUACUAAAAUUAUGAUAAAGGUGACUGAAGCUAGUAGAUAAUUCUUGUUUGGAAAUAGGGGUAACACAUAUCAUUACUAAGAAAGGUCUAGCUUCUUAUGAUGGCUUGUUGCUGGAGGGAUUCCAUCGUUUCCCAUGUCUCCACCAGCUCUAGGUGUUCAAUCUCUCCGCUGCCUCUCUUUCAGAUAUUCACGAGAUAUCAGCUUGGAGAUAUACCCGUGUCAAGUUGCCAGGAAUGUGUGGUUGAGAAAGGAAUGAGUCCCACUUGUUUCCAGACGUUGCAAGCGCGUGAUCAAGUAGCUAUAUUAUAUUGAUAUAUAAACUUUGACUUUUGUACAUGCUAGUGGUGGAAUGCGCCACAUGGGCUAUUCUAUUUAGAAAGAAGUCAAUAUUAUUGUGAUCAAACUAACUAUAGUGCCCUCUUAAUUUUACACGUUAUA